CAGCAGCCACGGUAAUACGGAGGGUGCAAGCGUUAUCCGGAUUUAUUGGGUUUAAAGGGUCCGUAGGCGGACUUAUAAGUCAGUGGUGAAAGCCUGUCGCUUAACGAUAGAACUGCCAUUGAUACUGUAAGUCUUGAGUAUAUUUGAGGUAGCUGGAAUAAGUAGUGUAGCGGUGAAAUGCAUAGAUAUUACUUAGAACACCAAUUGCGAAGGCAGGUUACCAAGAUAUAACUGACGCUGAGGGACGAAAGCGUGGGUAGCGAACAGGAUUAGAUACCCGCGUAGUCCCUGUCUCUUAUAC
rnacentral:rRNA from 1 species